AAAUUGAAGAGUUUGAUCAUGGCUCAGAUUGAACGCUGGCGGCAGGCCUAACACAUGCAAGUCGAACGGUAACAGGAAGCAGCUUGCUGCUUCGCUGACGAGUGGCGGACGGGUGAGUAAUGUCUGGGAAACUGCCUGAUGGAGGGGGAUAACUACUGGAAACGGUGGCUAAUACCGCAUAACGUCGCAAGACCAAAGAGGGGGACCUUCGGGCCUCUUGCCAUCAGAUGUGCCCAGAUGGGAUUAGCUUGUUGGUGAGGUAACGGCUCACCAAGGCAACGAUCCCUAGCUGGUCUGAGAGGAUGACCAGCCACAC
rnacentral:rRNA from 1 species